GAGGCUGCACAUGGGCACCAUUCUGCACAUGUCGGGGCGCAGAAGAAUUAGCAGGAUCGAAAGAAUUGACAGCUGGUACGUGUACCCUUGAUUGCCGUCCUUGUACAUUGUUAGGCUUCUUAAAACUCCGAUUGGAAGAAAUAGAAGAAGACGGUGAAGGGGCGGGCCCGCCGCCGCCGCCCUUACCGUAAGCACCUGAGGAGGUCCGCUGCUGAUUAGAGCCUGCGGAUCGUCCUGAUUUCAGAUACUGUGACUCGCUCUUAUCGGACCUUGAUUGAUUGAGGGACAUAUAUCCCUACUAUUAAACCCCCUUUUAGCUUUUGUUUCUGUGGAGUGAAGAGUGUAAAGAUACGAAAAUUAGGGUUUUAAUGGACGGUCAUGACCAUACCCAGCGACGCAGAGAUAGAAAGAAGAAAAGGAAAAAAAAAAGAAAGAAAAAAGAAAAAAAUAGAGGGAGGGAGAGAGAGAGAGAGAGAAGCAACAAAAGAGUUCUGGUAAGAGAGAGUUACUAGAGAGAGAGAGAGGGGUAACAAACUAACCAGCCAAGGUGGUCAAAAGGUAGGUUUUUUAGGAGAUC
rnacentral:misc_RNA from 1 species